UCCAGGAUUUCUUUAUGCUGGGGAAAGUCCCUUGAGGCUAAGAUACCAUCAUACUGAAGUGCGAUUUUGAUGUCACGAAUUUUGUGUGCUCGCUGGUGGACCUGCCUGCAGACCUUCCUUCUAGAAAUGGAACCCCAGUCCGUUGCCGGUUGUUGAUGAAUCAAACCUGGAGCUGUUUUGCAGAGACAGCACCACGCAUGUGCAAGCCGGGAACCUGUGCCUCCAGGGCGACCCCAGGAAUCUUCAGUCUGUGGAGCUCAAAGGAUAGAAAUAUUGUCAUCAAAGUCCUUUACAAACCAAGAAGUUUUUCAAUAAGGAAAAUCUGGCUUCCAGCAGCAUGAGGAGCUUACGUGGACUGAUUUGAGACUAACCAAUCAGCUUCCCAAAUUUGAAAUUUCCCUCACCCCUUAAGUUUCUCCCUGAACCCUGGAUGGGAGAGACAGAUUUGAGAGCUGAGCCUCCUCUCUCCUUGCCGGUGGGCCUUGCAAUAAGCUCUUUCUUUUCUCAAAAGCCAGUGCCAUAGUAUUGGCUUUCAUGUGUGCCGGGCAGCCAGCCCUUGCCCGGUGACAAAGGUGCCACCCGACUCUGUCACCACGUGGACCCCUUGUGUGGUAAUUUCACACCACCUCCCUUUCACUGCCGCCUCCCUCCCCCGCCAUCCUUAAUGCCUGGCAGCCACCUUCAUUUCUGUAGCUUUGUCAUUUCAAGAAUGAUACACCAGUGGGAUCAUAUGGUGUGUAACCUUUUAGGAUUGGCUUUCUCGUUUAGCAUAAUUCCCUAGAGAUUCAUACAAGUUGUUGCUUGCGUCAGCAGUUCAUUUAAAAAAAAAUCCAUUGAGUAGAUUCUCUGGCAUGUCACUCACGCCACAGUUUAAGAACACCCGGGCUGUUUCCAGUCUUGGCUAUUACCCGUGACGCUGCUAUAAACAUUAGUGUGCAGGUCUCGAUGUGAGCACAAGUCUUUGUUUCUUUGGAUGAAGGUCCAAUAGGGCAAGAUUACGGAUCCCAUGGUAACUGCAAGUUUAGGUUUAUAAGAAAUUGCCAAGCUGUUUUUCAGUGAGGCGCUACCAUUUUAUAUUCCCACCAGCAAAGUAUGAAUGACCCAGUUUCUCUGCACCUUCGUCAGCAUAUAGUGUUGUCACUCAGCUUUAUUUUGAUAAAUGUGUUGUGAUAGCUCACGGUGGUUUUAAUCUGCAUUUUCCCAAUGAAUAAUAAAAGUGAACACCUUUUCGUGUA